rnacentral:rRNA from 1 species
UACGAACCGUCCAAACGUUAUUCGGAAUCAUUGGGCUUAAAGGGUACGUAGGCGGUGCCGUAAGUCGGGUGUGAAAUCCCUCGGCUCAACCGAGGAACUGCGCCCGAUACUGCGGUGCUUGAGGGAGACAGGGGUGAGCGGAACUGAUGGUGGAGCGGUGAAAUGCGUUGAUAUCAUCAGGAACACCAGUGGCGAAAGCGGCUCGCUGGGUCUCUUCUGACGCUGAGGUACGAAAGCUAGGGUAGCGAACGGG